AGCACCCACUGUGCCAGACAACAGACAUGGGUAAAUGGAUUUCAGAAGAAAAUCCUGCCUUAUACCGGCUGGAGAAGGUGCUGACAAAUAAGAGGACUUUGAAGGAUGUAGAGAAACUGAGCCCUCAUCACCAGACUUCAUCUGUUGAGGCUUUCCACAGCGUCAUCAUUCGUUUCGCCCCUAAAAGUGUCGUCUUUCCCUGUCUUGGAAUGCUGUGCAGACUCUACCUGGCUGCCAUGUACUAGAAUGAGAAUGCUGGCAGACCACAAGCCCAAACAACAGAAGGUGAACCUCUCUUCAAGGUUAACUUUCCAAAGGCCUUGAAGGGGGGAUGCAGAGCAAA